rnacentral:rRNA from 1 species
GAUGAACGCUGGCGGCGUGCAUAACACAUUCAAGUCGAACGGAGAUUGGCCCUUCGGGGCAUGAUCAGUGGCGGACGGGUGAGUAACGCGUGGGCAACCUGCCUCAUACAGGGGGAUAACACUUAGAAAUAGGUGCUAAUACCGCAUAAGCGCACGGUACCGCAUGGUACAGUGUGAAAAACUCCGGUGGUAUGAGAUGGACCCGCGUCUGAUUAGCUGGUUGGUGAGGUAACGGCUCACCAAGUCGACGAUCAGUAGCCGAACUGAGAGGUUGAUCGGCCACAUUGGGACUGAGACACGGCCCAGACUCCUACGGGAGGCAGCAGUGGGGAAUAUUGCGCAAUGGGGGAAACCCUGACGCAGCAACGCCGCGUGAAGGAUGAAGGUCUUCGGAUUGUAAACUUUUGUCUUAUGGGACGAAAAAGGACGGUACCAUAGGAGGAAGCCACGGCUAACUACGUG